UGGACCUCCUGUGCCUUCCCCGCUGGAUCUUUUCACUUUGCUUCAUCUUUUAAGCAGUUUUUCAAGGAUCUAUGCCACUAAAUAAGGAACUACCACUAAGAGAAGAGGUGGACUACAGCAGCCAAGGAACCACUGUAGGAGAGGUACGGAUGGACUCUCAGGAUGGCAGAAAAUGCGCUCUAAGAUGGUGUUUUGGAGAAAACUUUGGAGAAGGCAAGAGAACCCCU